GAAAUGACUUGAUUUUUGUAUGUUGAUCUUGUAUCCUGCAUUCUUGUUAAAUUUGCUUAUUAAUAAAGUGCAGUAGCU